GGUUAAGCGACUAAGCGUACACGGUGGAUGCCCUGGCAGUCAGAGGCGAUGAAGGACGUGCUAAUCUGCGAAAAGCGCCGGCGAGGUGAUAUGAACCCUUGACCCGGCGAUGUCCGAAUGGGGAAACCCAGUGCAAUCCGUUGCACUAUCGUUAACUGAAUACAUAGGUUAACGAGGCGAACCGGGGGA
rnacentral:rRNA from 1 species